AUUUCCCUCUCUGCGUAUUUCGCAUUCUCUACUCAUGCCUGGUCUCUCGUCUCUGCUUUGGAGACGAUUCUUUCUCCCAUUUUCAUUUUUUGUUCUUCAAUUUGGCCUAAAGGAUCCAUGGCUGACCAACCAGGCGGGCUGGAUUCGGUUACUGACAAGAUCUCCGGUAAGAUCGACGGCUACAAUUCUUCCUCUUCCUCCGGCUCUGAUGAUGACCAGCCUUCAAAAAUCAAUGCUGUAAAAUCCCACGUUUUUAGGCUCUUCGGUAGAGAUAAGCCCGUUCACACGGUCUUGGGCGGUGGAAAACCUGCUGAUGUUCUUCUUUGGAGGAACAAGAAGAACUCUGCAGGCAUCCUUGGGGGUGCCACCGCCUUGUGGAUUCUUUUUGAGCUGCUUGAGUACCAAUUAAUCACUCUCCUAUGCCAUAUAUUAAUUCUUGUACUGGCUCUAGUUUUCACGCGGUCUUAUGCCAGUUCGUUUAUCAACAAGUCCCCACCACAAAUCCCAGAUUUUAGACUUCCUGAAGAUCGUCUACUCGAGGUUGUCUCUGCAUUGAGAAUCGAAAUCAACCAUGUAAUCUCCAAUUUACGUAACAUUGCUUCUGGGAGAGAUUUGAAGAAAUUCCUCCGUGCUUUUAUUGGCUUAUGGGUUCUAUCAAUGGUUGGAAGCUGGUGCAAUUUUCUGACCUUGUUAUACACAUCCGUUGUAUUGCUACACACUGUGCCAGUGCUAUAUGAGAAGUAUGAUGACCAGGUUGACGCAUUUGCUGAGAAGGCUUUGAUAGAGGUCAAGAAGCAGUAUGCUGUAUUUAACGCCGAAGUUCUGAGUAAAAUCCCGAUGGGGGCACUUCAAGAGAAGAAGAAGGAUUAGGUUAUGUGGCAUUUUUGUCUGAUAUGAUGUAAUGUGAUCGAGACGAUGGUGUAGCCGAGCUCAAGACUCCAGAGAUCCUACAUACUCAGAGUCUGUUUUGGUUGUAUUUACUUUUGUCUGCUUUGAAAUGUUUAUAAUUAUAAGUUAUUAAAUUUAUGUAAAUUAUGUUUUGCUCUUAUAUAAUAAAGAAUGUGAUAUGGAGUGUUUUUAUAAA